UCUUAAAUUUAAGAAAUUCAAGAAUUCUUUAUGGCAGAAAUCAAUAUUGUCAUUUCCAGACAAGUCUAUCUAAAUCAAGAGUAGUAAAUGAGACUAAAAUUAUUUUGAAUGUUGCUACUUUUCUCCUUUCUAGGCUUUGAGAAUCCUCUAUCUUUCUGUGCAAGCAAAGGGCUAAAAAAUAAGAUAUAUCACAAUGCUUUUUCCUAGGUCCUGGAGUCUUUGUUUUUUUUGUAGUUCCUGAACGAUGCUCUAGUCUGACUUGUGUGUAUGUGCAGCAGAAGGAUCCAGUCCCAAACUUGCUCCUCAGUGCUUGAGAUUACAGGUAUUCGUUUGGAUGAAAAAUCUUGUAUUUGGGUAACACAGGAUUAAGUGAGGACUCAUACCUGUUGUUUUGGUACUGGUGUGUGUUGCAUUUUUGUAGGUGACGAGCUGUUGUCAUGGAUAUAGCUUCUCUGCUCUAUUCCUAGGAUGGGAGAUCACACUGUAGGUUUUGUGUGGUUGCUUUGCCACGUGAACACAUCUGCUACACUGUGUACCUGACUUCAGGAAAAUGCUUUGAUCAGGCAUCAGCUGUCUAGUUUAAAUGUACAAUUAAAUAGUUCAAGUAAAUAUUUGCGUUAACUAGCAAAUAAGAUGAUACCUUGGAGAUGAGGUCCUGUUGUCAUAGCAAAAGGAUGAAAAACAAAAUAAAAAAAAAUGGAGCUCCUGGAAAGCCAUUCUUAACUCUAGCCCAGUGUGAAGUUGUCUGAGAUUAAAUACAAUUUGCAGGUAGAGAAAGUCAAUAAGUAGUAG